UUGGUGGGAUUUUUCAUUUGUUAGAGCGGAAUUCCUACUUUUAUAGGAAUUCUGUGCGUUAAAGCGAGUAAGAAAUAUGGCAGUUUUUAUGACAGUAGGCUUUGUCGAAAAAUGUCACAUUUGAUAAAAAAAAUUUUAUAAUUUUAUAGAUAUUUCAAAUUUCAUUUUAUGUUCCCGUUGCCGUUGCCGUCGACUUUGCAUCAUUAUUUUUAAGAUUUGCAACAAUUAAAAUUAAAACCCACCAUCAUCUUUAAUGCCGUCACCAGCUGAUAUCGCACGCACCUCCUCCAUCACCUUUAAUGCCACCACCAACAUCGUACCAUCACCUUCAACACCGGUACCAGAAGUAUCGCCACCAUCAUCAUUCAACACCGGCACCAGCAAAAUCGCACCAUCAACAUUCCACGACUCUACCAGCAAAAUCACCUUCAACAUCGCCACUAUUACUUUAAGGCCACCACCAACAUCACCUCACACCAGAGUUCGUAGAGCGCUCAAAAUUCGCUCUUGCUCUUUCGAGUUAUCACUCAAAAAAA